GAUGAACGCUGGCGGCGUGCCUAAUACAUGCAAGUCGAGCGAACGGACGAGAAGCUUGCUCCUCUGACGUUAGCGGCGGACGGGUGAGUAACACGUGGAUAACCUACCUAUAAGACUGGGAUAACUUCGGGAAACCGGAGCUAAUACCGGAUAAUAUAUUGAACCGCAUGGUUCAAUAGUGAAAGACGGUUUUGCUGUCACUUAUAGAUGGAUCCGCGCUGCAUUAGCUAGUUGGUAAGGUAACGGCUUACCAAGGCAACGAUGCGUAGCCGACCUGAGAGGGUGAUCGGCCACACUGGAACUGAGACACGGUCCAGACUCCUACGGGAGGCAGCAGUAGGGAAUCUUCCGCAAAGGGCGAAAGCCUGACGGAGCAACGCCGCGUGAGUGAUGAAGGUCUUCGGAUCGUAAAACUCUGUUAUUAGGGAAGAACAAAUGUGUAAGUAACUAUGCACGUCUUGACGGUACCUAAUCAGAAAGCCACGGCUAACUACGUG
rnacentral:rRNA from 1 species